CCCUCUCUACCACUCGCAAACUCUAAAUAUUAGAGUUCUAUUUUCUUAAGUAUAUCACCUAUAUAGUAAUAAAGCCCUGCCCUAUUUUAAGUGUUUUAACCCUUGAUCACUGAUACCCUGUCCGACUGACGUAGGACCCCGUAACGUAUGUCAAGGCUCUGCCUAAAUUCGUUGGGGUUCUGUCUCGUGACGUAGGGAUAAAGUAGAUUGGGUCACUAUACUUAAUGUGAGUGCAUUAUAUAUUUUAUUAAAUAAUCCAGGAGUUGUACCCAAAAUAUAACAACCCUCCCGAAUAUUUUUCUGACACCCUACACUUCCUAAGAUACACCCCGUAUGUGAAAACCGAGCCCGAAAUACAAUAUAUUAUUAAAAAUAAUUAAAAACAAGAAAAUAUAAGUUUAGGCGGGCCGCGUAAAGAUCCUCGAUUAGUUAACGCGGGCCGCGAGAGGUUAGAAAGGUGGCGCAGCCCUGGGCCGCCACGUGGCAUAACACCCGUCAAGCCUACACAUCAACUCAGCAUAGCUAUACGUUGACUUUGGGUCAACGCGGGCCGCGUAAGACCUGCUCUCAUUUGACACGGGCCGCGAGAGAGUCCAGUAUCAGCACUAUAUAAAGGAGCCAUCGGGUUCAACUAGAAUUCGUUCAUUCUUCGAUUCUCAAUCUCAAAUUCUGAUAGUAGAGUUAUUAUACCCCUAAUUAGCGAAGCUCUGCCUCGUUGUAAGUAUCAUAACCCCUGGAUACGUAUUAGAUACUCUGCCCGAUUGAUCUAAGGUUCCGUAACGGCUGUCGUGGUUCUGCCCGACGUAGUCGUUGGAAUGCCGUCUCGGGGAGGAUUAUAACCAGGGAAUCACAAAGGAAAGCCCUAUAAUAGCAAUGUAACUUAGUAUGAAGCCAAUAAAAGCCAGCUGGAGAGCACUGAAGGCUUGGAAAAGUGGCUAUAAAGUUACCUAAAAUAAAAUAGAUGUUUUUAUUAAAUAAAAUAGGAUUUAUUCCUAUGAAAAUGUAUGUACUGCAAAACUUGGGUUUUAUCCCAUGUGUUUAAUAUUAUGAAAAUAUGGUGGUUUUACUCUGAU
rnacentral:lncRNA from 1 species